rnacentral:sRNA from 1 species
CCCUAGCCCGGAUAGCAGUGGAAAUCCUUUUGUGUAACGCAGUGAAACAAAAGAUUGAAACGCAUAGCCGGAAACAGC